GGAACACGUAUCGCGAUCGUGAGCUAGUUGUUGGAACUCAAAGAAAGAGAAGGACACAUGUUGAUGUUUGAGGAAAAGAGGUUAUGUCUUCGGCCUGAUGUCAUAAUGACCACGUUGACCACGUUGGUUGAAGGCAGUAGGAGAGGUAUCUCUCUUCAGAAAACAGCAUACCCGGACUGCACGGGUGUUGGUGAAUGCUGCAAGGCUCCUAAUUGUGUUCUCCCCACCGCUACCACCACCACCACUCUGCCUGAGCCAGCGCACCCACACUGCACUGGUUCUGGUUGCUACAAGGCCCCUAAUUGUGUUACGCCCUAAAUGAUAAUUAUUAUCAUCUUAUUAUGUAAUGAAAAUGGUAGAUGUACCUAUAUGAGUACAUGUUAUUGUAUAAUGAAAAUGGUAGAUGUACCUAUAUGAGUACAUGUUAUUAUAUAAUGAAAAUGGUAGAUGUACCUAUAUGAGUACAGAUAUUAAAUAAACCUUUUUAAUUA